CGGCGCGCCUAACACAUGCAAGUCGAACGGAACUCCUAUGAACGAGGUUUCGGCCAAGUGAAUAGGAUGUUUAGUGGCGAACGGGUGAGUAACGCGUGAGUAACCUGCCCUGGAGUGGGGGACAACAGUUGGAAACGACUGCUAAUACCGCAUAAGCCCACGGUACCGCAUGGUACUGGGGGAAAAGGAUUAAUUCGCUUCAGGAUGGACUCGCGUCCAAUUAGCUAGUUGGUGAGGUAACGGCCCACCAAGGCGACGAUUGGUAGCCGGACUGAGAGGUUGAACGGCCACAUUGGGACUGAGACACGGCCCAGACUCCUACGGGAGGCAGCAGUGGGGGAUAUUGCACAAUGGGGGAAACCCUGAUGCAGCGACGCCGCGUGGAGGAAGAAGGUUUUCGGAUUGUAAACUCCUGUCGUUAGGGACGAUAAUGACGGUACCUAACAAGAAAGCACCGGCUAACUACGUG
rnacentral:rRNA from 1 species